rnacentral:rRNA from 1 species
AAAAGUCGUAACAAGGUCUCCGUUGGUGAACCAGCGGAGGGAUCAUUAUAGAGUCUUAAAAAACUCCCAAACCCAUGUGAACUUAUCAUAUUGUUGCCUCGGCGUAGUCGGGGAGGCAUGGACCUUUUGCCUAGCAAUCGGGACGCUUCUUCGGCCGCCGGUGGACAAACCAAACUCUGUUUUUAUUGAAUCUCUGAGUGAUUAUUAAAUAAAUCAAAACUUUCAACAACGGAUCUCUUGGUUCUGGCAUCGAUGAAGAACGCAGCGAAAUGCGAUAAGUAAUGUGAAUUGCAGAAUUCAGUGAAUCAUCGAAUCUUUGAACGCACAUUGCGCCCAUUAGUAUUCUAGUGGGCAUGCCUGUUCGAGCGUCAUUUCAACCCCUAAGCCUAGCUUAUUGUUGGGAGGCUGCGGUAAAACGCACCUCCUCAAAGUCAGUGGCGGAGAGACAGUGUCCUCUGAGCGUAGUAAAUCUCUUUCUCGCUUUUGUCAGGUGCUGCCCCCCUUGCCAUAAAACACCCAAUUUCUAAUGGUUGACCUCGGAUCAGGUAGGAAUACCCGCUGAACUUAAG